rnacentral:rRNA from 1 species
CCUACGUGAGGCAGCAGUAGGGAAUCUUCCACAAUGGGCGAAAGCCUGAUGGAGCAACGCCGCGUGGGUGAAGAAGGUCUUCGGAUCGUAAAACCCUGUUGUUAGAGAAGAAAGUGCGUGAGAGUAACUGUUCACGUUUCGACGGUAUCUAACCAGAAAGCCACGGCUAACUACGUGCCAGCAGCCGCGGUAAUACGUAGGUGGCAAGCGUUAUCCGGAUUUAUUGGGCGUAAGGGGAACGCAGGCGGUCUUUUAAGUCUGAUGUGAAAGCCUUCGGCUUAACCGGAGUAGUGCAUUGGAAACUGGGAGACUUGAGUGCAGAAGAGGAGAGUGGAACUCCAUGUGUAGCGGUGAAAUGCGUAGAUAUAUGGAAGAACACCAGUGGCGAAAGCGGCUCUCUGGUCUGUAACUGACGCUGAGGUUCGAAAGCGUGGGUAGCAAACAGGAUUAGAUACCCCAGUAGUC